AUGGUGCUCGACCGCCCCGUCGGGCGCCCGGCCUUCCGCAAGCCCGAGCGCCGAACCCUAGCCCCGCCGCGUGGUACGGGCCCUCCUCCUCCCCCGCCGAUUCCUCCCACGCCGGGGUUGUACCUCCGGGGGCCUCCUCCGCUCCCGCCUCCCGGUGCCAUCCUGCCGCGCCCGAUCGUCGUCUGCCUCGAUCUCGCCAGGAUGAAGCAAAUGGAUUCCUCCCGGAGCUCUUCUCUUAUGAAGUUCCUUGAGGAUACGGGGGUUUCGCCCUCGGAGGAGGAAACCCGGAGGAGGGAGAGGAUCAUACUCGAGCUCCACAAGAUAGUUAUGGAUUGGGCGAAAAUGGUGGCGUUCAACCAGGGGGGGAAACCUUGGAUCACAUCAGGCACGGUGUUGACCUUUGGCUCCUAUGAUUUAGGGGCAUAUGGACCUGAAUCUGAUAUUGAUGCAGUCUGUGUUGGUCCUUGCAUUGCAUCAUUACAACAUCAUUUCUUCGUUGUCCUGCGACAAAUGCUUGAAGCAAGGCCAGAAGUAUCAGACUUGCAUUCUAUUGAAAGUGCUAGGGUUCCGUUGAUGCGCUUUAAAUUCAACGGUGUGUCAGUAGAUUUUCCAUACGCCCAGCUGCCAGUUAUCAAUGCUGCAGAGGCUAUACAUGCAAAUGAUCCCCGUUUGCUAGAGAAAGUUGACGAGGCAAGCUGGAGAUGUCUAUCUGGAGUUCGUGUUAAUAGACAAAUCAUGCAAUUAGUUCCAAAUAUGAAGAAAUUUCAACUUUUGUUGCGCUGCCUUAAACUCUGGGCAAGAAAAAGAGGAAUUCAUUGCCAUCUAGUUGGCUUCUUUGCUGGAAUUCAUUUGGCGGUUCUUGGAGCAUAUGUUUGCCGCAGACAUCCAAAUGCUACUGCCAAUACUUUGUUGUGUAGGUUCUUUGAGAUAUUUUCUCACUGGCCCUGGCCUCUUCCGGUGUCUUUGCAUGAACAAACACCUCUUUGGAGUCCUGAUGGGUGCUCUCUCAUGCCCAUAGUGAUGCCCUGUUAUCCACCAGAAUUUUGUGCCUCUAAUGUCACAAAAAGCACUUUCAACAAAAUCAAAGAAGAGCUUUGGCGAGGUUUAUCUUUGACCAAGGAUACAAGUAGUGUUGAUAUCGACUGGAGUUGGAUUUUUGCGCCGUUUCCAUAUGGUGCAAAAUAUAAGCACUUCCUUCGCAUAGUUCUCUCAGCUCCGACAACUGAAGAGUUGCGUGAUUGGGUUGGAUGGGUGAAAUCACGAUUCCGCAGCCUUAUUCUCAAGCUGGAAAGCCUUAACAUUGGUUGUGACCCAAAUCCCUCAGAGCAAGUGGAUCAUACCAUCGGUGAGCCAAAUGCUGUAUUCUUGUGGGGUCUCAUCAUGUAUAGUAAUACUCAGAUCUGUACAACUUCUCUCAAAGAGGACUUCAUGAGAAGUGUCACCAACAACAUCUAUGGAAAGGAAAAGUGUGCUCAUUCGGACAUAGAAUUGUCUGUUGUCGGUAUGCCUCAGGUGCCUAAAAGCAUGUCUGAUCAUCCGGCCUACUUACAGAAACUGCCGAAUCUGCCACCGCGAAUGCUGGGCUACCCACCGAUGAGGCAGGGCUGCAAUGCAGUUGGUUAA
rnacentral:rRNA from 1 species